rnacentral:rRNA from 1 species
UACGGAGGGUGCAAGCGUUAAUCGGAAUUACUGGGCGUAAAGCGCACGUAGGCGGCUUAGCAAGUUGGAUGUGAAAGCCCUCGGCUUAACCAAGGAAGUGCAUCCAAAACUGCUGAGCUUGAGUAGUUAAGAGGAUCGCGGAAUUCCCGGUGUAGAGGUGAAAUUCGUAGAUAUCGGGAGGAACACCAGUGGCGAAGGCGGCGAUCUGGGAACAUACUGACGCUGAGGUGCGAAAGCGUGGGGAGCAAACAGG